GGGGUAUAUUGCACAAUGGGCGAAAGCCUGAUGCAGCGUCGCCGCGUGAGGGAAGAUGGUUUUCGGAUUGUCAACCUCUGUCUUCGGGGACGAAACAAAUGACGGUACUCGAGGAGGACGCCACGGCUAACUACGUGCCAGCAGCCGCGGUAAUACGUAGGGGGCUAGCGUUAUCCGGAUUUACUGGGCGUAAAGGGUGCGUAGGUGGUAAUAUGUGUCAGAUGUAAAAGGCUAUGGCUUAACCAUAGUUAGCAUUUGAAACUGUAUUACUUGAGUGCAGGAGAGGUAAGUGGAAAUCCUAGUGUAGCGGUGAAAUGCGUAGAUAUUAGGAGGAACACCAGUGGCGAAGGCGACUUACUGGACUGUAACUGACGCUGAGUCACGAAAGCGUGGGUAGCAAACA
rnacentral:rRNA from 1 species